UAUGGUCAUAUCACAUUGAAAUACUGGUUCUCAUAGAUCACCAAAGUUAAGCAACAUCAAGCCUGGUCAAUACUUAGAUGGGUGAUCACUUGAGAAUACCAGGUGCU